CCUACGGGAGGCAGCAGUGAGGAAUAUUGGUCAAUGGACGAAAGUCUGAACCAGCCAUGCCGCGUGCAGGAUGACGGCUCUAUGAGUUGUAAACUUCUUUUAUACGAGGGUAAAACCAGGUACGUGUAUCUGUUUGCAAGUAUCUUACGAAUAAGGAUCGGCUAACUCCGUGCCAGCAGCCGCGGUAAUACGGAGGAUCCGAGCGUUAUCCGGAUUUAUUGGGUUUAAAGGGUGCGUAGAUGGGUUGUUAAGUUAGAUGUGAAAUCUGGCGGCUCAACCGUGAAAUUGCAUCUGAUACUGUCAGACUUGAGUACAGUUGCGGUAGGCGGAAU
rnacentral:rRNA from 1 species